AAAUAAAAUUGUUGGAAGUGUUAAGAGUAAAUAAAAGAAGGGAAGCUUGCAUUUGGUGUGUAUUAGAGAGAGAAAGAGGCAAAAGAGAAAAAAAAAAAGAAAGAGAUUUAGAGUGAGAAGGGGAGAAGAUUUGUGCAAGGAUUCAAAGGCUUGGAGUUAUUAAGAAUAAAGAUUUGAUUUUUAAAGCAAGACCAAGCUACAAAAAGUUAAGAAUGAGGAUGAUGACCCGAGCCUACAAUCGAGGCAGAGAAAAGGAAAGGAGCCUGCACAUGGCGGGAGCAAUUUCCAAGGAUGCACCUGAACCUCGUAGCUAGCUAUUAUAUUUAAAUAAAUACUGUAUAACUUUUAAGUACUAUGAAGUCCUGCGUGACUAGACUUUUGGGAUAUGUACGUUGUGGAGAUGAUCCAAGGACUUGUGGAUUGGUACCCACUGAACUUAUAUUAUGGCUCUAUAUUAUAUUAACGUAUGUUUGCAGGUUGCGAA